GUGAGAAGUCUGUAUACGACACGCUCUCCCAGAAUCCACUGUCACUUCUUUGGCUACAGUCUGAACCUGGACAAGUACAGAUCUAUUACAAACAACUGUAACAACUGGAAGCUCUACCGCAAGAUCUACAGACAGUCACAGUGAUGGCUCUCGCGGUUACACUCGCCUUGCCCGUUGCUGUGGGAACAAUUGUUCGGGCAAACUUGAAUCUCGCAUGCCUCGCCUGUCCACGUGGCGUCGCACGUACACACACCGUCGAUGCAAACACCAUGGCCGGAACAGUCGAUAAACGAAUACCUGCGGACCACAAAGCAUGUACACACGGAAGAGAGAUAGGCUGAACAAAUCUUUAAGGAGCACGCCGCGCUAUCAGCUCGUCUAAUCCAAAUACCAGCAGGGGAAGAAAUUCGACAAAAAUCGUCGGACUGGAUUGCGAUUGUAGGAACGAAUGGCUGAUCUUGAGAGUACAUUCCUGAACAGGGACAACAGGUUAUCAGCGACAGAACAUUCCUCUUUCCUAACGCAUGAAUGUCAACUGAAUAAAACGAAGACUAAUUGCAAGAUAAUAUGGCGCGAAUGGGAUCAACGGACACGUUCUAAUCGGAUAAAAAGCCGAUUAUUAUUUGAUCCGUUCGCGGUCGACGAUAUGUCAAAGUUCAUCCAAAACAAAUCUGGAACGCGAGAUCUAUGUAUAUUAAUGAAUGCUGCAGAUGAAAUAUCGCAGUUGCUUAAUCGCAUCAGCUCCAAAUAUUUACUCGAGUUUGUUUAAGAGAUUAGCCGGUAGUCGAUGUCAAAUUAUAUAUUAUAUUUCAACAUAAGCUGACACAUGUUCGUGCAUGCUUUUAUGCUGCUCACGAUCACUACCGGUAUUAAUAUUUUGACGGUCGUAUGAUUCAUAGAACUGUUUAACGCGUACAGUGUACGUAACUCAAAUACAAUUAGCACGAGUCUUUAUGAAUAACAAGGGAAGAUUAAAUAUCUCAGAAGCUAUAAAAAAAGAAUGAUUUAUUACUCAGAGAAACUACUUAACGAGCAGGGCUCAAAACAAUUUAAACUUCAAUAAUAGAAGAAUAAUAUCGUUUACCAGAUACACAAAUACAGGAGGGGCAUAACCAGAGAUGUAAAACACACAGAUCGUUUACCUGCUCGGGCAGGCGUUGAUCUUGUAAGUGAUAUUGAAACCGCUCAUGUUGUAAGCGACAUCCGAGUAGAAGUGUAGCAGAGCGCUUCCGGACCGAGCGAUCACUUCCGGCUGGCGCAUGUGAUAGCCACCCUUCUGCAUCAAGCCAGAAAAUACGGCGAGCAACGGUGCCUCGACGCUGUCACCGUCGUAGAUGUACAGAUGAUCCCAGCCGCAUUCUGUCGCGAACUGCUCCACGUGCAUACGUAUAGUGGAAUUCGGGCUGCUCUCGAUCAGCCAGGAACACUUCACGUCCGCCGUGUAGUUGCCGAUACCGUCGUGGAUGUUGCCCGUUGGAUCCGUCAGUCUAUAACGAGACAAAGAAACUCUAUCAAUUCUCUAACACCUGAACCAUCGGAUCACUGAUAAUGAUUGAUCGACGACGAAACUGCUAAGCGUCGAUAGAGUAUUUGUCAAACACUCGACAAAUCGAGUUCCAUGUUUUCACGAUAAUUACGAGUCCGACAGAAAAGCUGACGAGCGUGAACUCAUUGAUCGAUUAAAAUUUUAUGAUGGAUUUCGAUAUUAAUUUUGCAAAAUAGCGUACAGCGUUAAAAGAUUAGGAAAAACGACGUUUUAUGAUCCAUUAAUACUCAAAGAUAAUGCUUAUCUUAAAAAUAUGAUAUUUUCAAUCUAUGAAAAUUAAUGUGAAUUAAUAUCCUUGUGAUAGAAUAACGGUAGCUUUCAAAAGCAAGGCCAAGAGAUUUGUCUCCUACCGCAUACUUUUCUUUUCCUAUCUUAUUUUAUUUCCAAGCUACGCUCGGCUGUGAUUUAAAUUUUCUUAAAAUAAUAGCGAAUACUUGAAAUGACUUAGCAAUAAAGAACGGCGCGGUGUCGUCGCUUAUUAAAAUUCCUAGCCUCGAAGACUAAUUGCAUCGAAAGCCAGAAAUCAUAGUCGACUGCACAAUGUUCAAGGUCUCACGGUGCAGUAUCGAUGUCUCGGUUGUUAUCAGCCGGGACAAUACAAGAUCACGCACGUUGAUAAACGCGCACAAAAGAAAUAAGAAUGCAGUAAAAAUUACCUUGCUUAUCUUUCGUGCACGUCAAUACUUGGCAUUGCUUUCCAUUUAUUUGAAUCACAAUAGCGUCAUUUAAAUUGGAAAAACUGUAAACCUCUUUACAAGUGAAAACAAUGAGAUAUUUUAUCUUCUUUGAUUUCAAAGUAACUCGCAGGAAGAUAAGUAAAGCUUAUAGAAAUGAUAGAAGGAAAUUAUAAAAUUACUUAGAAAUUUCAUUUCUUCUAUCUUUAUUAAUACCAUUAACGUAAAUGCAGGAGCUGACUCGACCCUCGAUUUCGACGUUUCCGGGGUGCCCGAUGCCAAGGACGGUGUCUAUGCGGAUAACAGAAGAGGGAAGCGUUUCGUGGACGUGAUAACGAUAAAGCCUGGACACAGACGAGCGACCAAAGCGAUCGAGCGGAGACGAGCGAUAGAUAAGCGUCAAUCUAAAUCACAAAAGCCUGGAGUUUGAACGAUACAACAUCAAGAUGCGUCUACAAAGUGAACCCUUUCGCGCACGAAGCGUAUCGUGCAUGCAUAGAAUAUUCUUCGUUUAAUUUAAACAGCUUAACAUAAAGUAUUCGCUGAAUCUACUUAACUUGCUACGUACUGUAAAACUUCACUUGCAGUAUAUCAAUUUGAAACUUAGUAUAAUGAAAAUGACUGUACGAACGCAUCAGACUUUUCAUGUUCUCGUUUCAUUCGCAGCAACCUGAAUUGAUCAUCCGCAAAGGGUUAACGUCUGAAGAACAAUAACAGAAACUAGCACUCCGUUCAGCUAGAGUAUUGACGCUGGAAAAAAAAAUACGAGCGAACGAUGAAAGACACCUGUGCCAUUAUCGAGCAAACGCAUUUAUAGGGACGAUUGCGUGUCGAAAACGGAUGCGUAUUGUCGAACAGUGACGUUCGAGGAAUAACAAUACGUUAACACCGAUAAUGCAAUGGAAAAAAAAAAGGUGGAAAAAGUACAGAGGACAUGGGAGAAACCGGGUACAGCGACGAUGUAACGAGCAAGCUUCGUUGCGCGUAAAUUCUCAUCGGUGAUUUACGGCACUAACACGUGUCGCGGACAGGAUGGCUGACAUUAAUAUUUCAGCGCGAAACAUUUUUGCGCCAGGAUCACGGAAACGCGCGGAGAACCGUGGUCGAAAACGGAUACUGAGCUGGCAUUGUUGAAAAGUGCGCAGGGCGAAAGAACGCUCGAAUAAUCAUGAGACAGCCAGGUGAUAAUCUUAGAAAGCUAUAUUUCUAGAUUUUUAGUAUAUAAAAUAAUGGAAAUAAAAUACAGAUGAACUGGUGUGCAAAGGACUCGUAAUGAAACUCGUGCGAAACUUCUUCAUCGUCGACGAGCAAAAUGCGACUGUCUGUAAAAACAAUUUUCAACGUUAAUACGCCGCCGGUUAAGCAAAGGAAAUUAAGCGGGAAUGUGGUCAACGAGCAAAGAACGGAGCAGUGGAUGGAUAUUUACAAUGGAGCAUCGGCGUAAACCGUAAAGGAAAGCACUCGAAAAGAGAAAAAGAAGAGGAACGUCGUCGUCUUUGAAGCGCUCUCGAGAUUCAGGAGAAAAUACAGCUUGAUUCUUCAACUUGCACCCUCGAGAUUUUUAUAUACGAAACUCAGAAUAUAACCGGAACCGUAUGCGACAUCCUGUAGUAAAGGAUGAGCAGUUUAUAGUACAAGAAUAACUUGAAAUAUUGGGGUAAGAAUUGACAAAGAUU